rnacentral:rRNA from 1 species
AUGUGCUGCUUCUAAUCGUCCUCAGGACAAUUAUUGACCAUUUGACCUCAAAUCAGGUAGGACUACCCGCUGAACUUAAGCAUAUCAAUAAGCGGAGG